rnacentral:rRNA from 1 species
AAAGUCGUAACAAGGUUUCCGUAGGUGAACCUGCGGAAGGAUCAUUAAUGAAUUUUAUAAUCCGGCGAGGGGGACGGGGGGGAAGCUGUCGCUGGCCUUUUGCGAGGCAUGUGCACGCUUUCUUUCUGAACCUUUGCUGUAUGGGCGCGGGGCGACCCGCGUCUUCAUAUACCCCUUCGUGUAGAAAGUCUUUGAAUGUUUUUUUACCAUCAUCGAGUCGCGACUUCUAGGAGACGCGAUUCUUUGAGACAAAAGUUAUUACAACUUUCAGCAAUGGAUCUCUUGGCUCUCGCAUCGAUGAAGAACGCAGCGAAUCGCGAUAUGUAAUGUGAAUUGCAGAUCUACAGUGAAUCAUCGAAUCUUUGAACGCACCUUGCGCUCCUCGGUGUUCCGAGGAGCAUGCCUGUUUGAGUGUCAGUAAAUUCUCAACCCCUCUCGAUUUGCUUCGAGAGGGUGCUUGGAUAGUGGGGGCUGCCGGAGACUUGGAUUCAUCCAGGACUCGGGCUCUCCUGAAAUGCAUCGGCUUGUGGUCGACUCUCGACUUUGCGCGACAAGGCUUUCGGCGUGAUAAUGAUCGCCGUUCGCCGAAGCGCAUGAAUGAAGGUCCCGCGCCUCUAAUACGUCGACGCAUAUUUUUGCGUCUUCCUUCUUGACGUUUGACCUCAAAUCAGGUAGGACUACCCGCUGAACUUAAGCAUAUCAAUAAGCGGAGGAAAAGAAACUAACAAGGAUUCCCCUAGUAACUGCGAGUGAAGCGGGAAAAGCUCAAAUUUUGAAUCUGGCGGUUGUUUCAGCCGUCCGAGUUGUAAUCUAGAGAAGCGUCUUCCGCGCUGGA